AUGGAGGAGGACUACGUGUUCAAGGUGGUGGUGAUCGGCGACUCGGGGGUGGGCAAGACGCAGCUGCUGGGGCGCUUCACGCGGGGCGACUUCUGCCUCGACUCCAAGUCCACCAUCGGCAUCGAGUUCCAGACGCGCGCCGCCGACAUCGCCGGCCGCCGCGUCAAGGCCCAGAUAUGGGACACCGCCGGCCAGGAGCGCUACCGGGCCGUCACCAGCGCCUACUACCGCCAUGCUCGUCUACGACGUCACGCGCCGGGACUCCUUCGCCCACGCCGCGCGCUGGGUCGCCGAGCUCCGCGCCCACGCCGACAAGUCCAUCGUCGUCGCGCUCGUCGGCAACAAGGCCGACCUCGCCGCCGUCCCAGGGCGUCGGGAGGUGGAGGCCGACGAGGCCGAGGCCUUCGCCGAGGAGCAGGGGCUCUUCUUCUACGAGGCGUCCGCGCUCAGCGGCGACAACGUCGAGGCCGCCUUCCUCGGCCUGCUCGAGGAGAUCCACGCCGCCGUGUCCAGGAAGCCGCUGGAGGCGGCCAGAGGCAACGGUGA
rnacentral:rRNA from 1 species